CUUUGUUUCUAUUUUGUUGGUUUUUAGGAACGAAGUAAUGAUUAAUAGGGAUAGUUGGGGGCAUUAGUAUUCCAUUGUCAGAGGUGAAAUUCUUGGAUUUAUGAAAGACUAACUUCUGCGAAAGCAUUUGCCAAGGAUGUUUUCAUUAAUCAAGAACGAAAGUUAGGGGAUCGAAGACGAUCAGAUACCGUCGUAGUCUUAACCAUAAACUAUGCCGACUAGGGAUCCGCCAACGUUAAUUUAUGACUUGGUGGGCACCUUAUGAGAAAUCAAAGUUUUUGGGUUCCGGGGGGAGUAUGGUCGCAAGGCUGAAACUUAAAGGAAUUGACGGAAGGGCACCACCAGGAGUGGAGCCUGCGGCUUAAUUUGACUCAACACGGGGAAACUCAC
rnacentral:rRNA from 1 species